rnacentral:rRNA from 1 species
UACGUAGGGGGCAAGCGUUGUUCGGAAUUACUGGGCGUAAAGGGCGCGUAGGCGGCCUGCUAAGUCGAACGUGAAAUCCCCGGGCUCAACCCGGGAACUGCGUCCGAUACUGGCAGGCUUGAAUCCGGGAGAGGGAUGCGGAAUUCCAGGUGUAGCGGUGAAAUGCGUAGAUAUCAGGAAGAACACCCGUGGCGAAAGCGGCUCUCUGGAACGGUACUGGCGCUGAGACGCGAAAGCGUGGGGAGCGAACAGG